rnacentral:rRNA from 1 species
AUUGAACGCUGGCGGCAUGCCUUACACAUGCAAGUCGAACGGCAGCACGGGGGCAACCCUGGUGGCGAGUGGCGGACGGGUGAGUAAAGCAUCGGAACGUAUCCUGGAGUGGGGGGAUAACGUAGCGAAAGUUACGCUAAUACCGCAUAUUCUGUGAGCAGGAAAGCAGGGGAUCGCAAGACCUUGCGCUCUGGGAGCGGCCGAUGUCGGAUUAGCUAGUUGGUGGGGUAAAGGCCUACCAAGGCGACGAUCCGUAGCGGGUCUGAGAGGAUGAUCCGCCACACUGGGACUGAGACACGGCCCAGACUCCUACGGGAGGCAGCAGUGGGGAAUUUUGGACAAUGGGCGGAAGCCUGAUCCAGCCAUGCCGCGUGAGUGAAGAAGGCCUCGGUUGUAAG